rnacentral:rRNA from 1 species
GUGAGUAACACGUGAGCAAUCUGCCCCUGACUCUGGGAUAAGCGCUGGAAACGGCGUCUAAUACCGGAUAUGAGCCACCAUCGCAUGGUGAGUGGUUGGAAAGAUUUUUCGGUCUGGGAUGAGCUCGCGGCCUAUCAGCUUGUUGGUGAGGUAAUGGCUCACCAAGGCGUCGACGGGUAGCCGGCCUGAGAGGGUGACCGGCCACACUGGGACUGAGACACGGCCCAGACUCCUACGGGAGGCAGCAGUGGGGAAUAUUGCACAAUGGGCGGAAGCCUGAUGCAGCAACGCCGCGUGAGGGACGACGGCCUUCGGGUUGUAAACCUCUUUUAGCAGGGAAGAAGCGAAAGUGACGGUACCUGCAGAAAAAGCGCCGGCUAACUACGUGCCAGCAGCCGCGGUAAUACGUAGGGCGCAAGCGUUAUCCGGAAUUAUUGGGCGUAAAGAGCUCGUAGGCGGUUUGUCGCGUCUGCUGUGAAAUCCCGAGGCUCAACCUCGGGUCUGCAGUGGGUACGGGCAGACUAGAGUGCGGUAGGGGAGAUUGGAAUUCCUGGUGUAGCGGUGGAAUGCGCAGAUAUCAGGAGGAACACCGAUGGCGAAGGCAGAUCUCUGGGCCGUAACUGACGCUGAGGAGCGAAAGGGUGGGGAGCAAACAGGCUUAGAUACCCUGGUAGUCCACCCCGUAAACGUUGGGAACUAGUUGUGGGGUCCAUUCCACGGAUUCCGUGACGCAGCUAACGCA